rnacentral:rRNA from 1 species
GACGAACGCUGGCGGCGUGCUUAACACAUGCAAGUCGAACGGAAAGGCCCCCUUGUGGGGUACUCGAGUGGCGAACGGGUGAGUAACACGUGAGUAACCUACCCUUGACUUUGGGAUAACUUCAGGAAACUGGGGCUAAUACCGGAUAGGAGCUCCUGCUGCAUGGUGGGGGUUGGAAAGUUUCGGCGGUUGGGGAUGGACUCGCGGCUUAUUAGCUUGUUGGUGGGGUAGUGGCUCACCAAGGCUUUGACGGGUAGCCGGCCUGAGAGGGUGACCGGCCACAUUGGGACUGAGAUACGGCCCAGACUCCUACGGGAGGCAGCAGUGGGGAAUAUUGCACAAUGGGCGGAAGCCUGAUGCAGCAACGCCGCGUGCGGGAUGACGGCCUUCGGGUUGUAAACCGCUUUCGCCUGUGACGAAGCGUGAGUGACGGUAAUGGGUAAAGAAGCACCGGCUAACUACGUG